UGCCGUUGUGGUCCGAACCAGUGAGGCC
rnacentral:sRNA from 1 species